UGCUGUUUCAUUUUUAUCAACUGUGUAGGUAUAUCAGUUAAUUCCUGCUGUGAAACAAACAUCCCCCAGCUUCUGAGAGAAAAAAAAAAUAACUUGAGUCUAUGGGCCAGCUGCCUGGUUCCAUUGUUUAGAUCCAAGUCUUGAGUCUAUAAUCAUCUGGUAAACUGCCCAGAGGCUUGCUGCCAUGGGUUGGCCUCUGUGGCUUGUCUUAAAGUGUGCGUUCCUCCUUACAGCACAAGAACUGGGCUUAUUCAUGACGUCAUGGCAACAUUCCAAGGAGAAUGUAAACCUCUCAGGCCCACACCCAAUACUGCCUUUGCAUCAGUUCCACUGCAUCCAAUUGGCCAAAUGGGGUUAGCACCAUUCUCAGCCACACUGAACACAAAAGGAAACUGAGAGAUGAAGAAAGUGCAGACUUGGAUUCCAGUGUAUUUCCAGCUCUAGCCACCAGCUGUUCUGUGAUGCAAAGUGCUGAGACUGAGCUAUGCAGCUGUGUGUGUCUACAGUGAAGGAUCACCUGGAUGUUUCAGUGAUGAUGGUGUGGAAGCUACAGUGAGUGAGGAAGAGCACAAGAACAUUCCCCGACACAGAGCAAGAAUUCACCCACUGGCAGACAAGGAAAGAGAAAUCCACACUUGAACCUCACGUUUUGAUGUAUUACUUAUGGAGUGUUCCUGUGACCUGUUAGCCACUGGAGUGUGUUCUCAGCAAAUGAUUAUAGACACCUAAUCCCUCACAUUUGACAACCUGUGUCGUAAGAGCCUUACCAUAUUUCAAUCCUGCAGAGGUGUUGCUCUGCAGAGGAGGGAGGGUCAUGAAGGAAAACGUCCCCAGCAUGUCUUCAGACUGUGUGUGAGGAAGUGGGAAGAGCCCAUAGCUGCACAUUGCCCAUUUUUCAGAGUGAAGAUUAAAGGUUUUGUUGUGUCUGUAUGGGCAUCUCCACAUCUGAUAAUAUACCAUAUGACUAUCUAACUUUCCUAUUUGCCUUAUUUGGCCUAAAUUGUUGCUUGGCUGAAGUGUUCAAUCCUAGUCCCUCAAACAUGCCUAUGUUACCAUGUCCCUUUCUCUUGCCUUUGUCAAAGCUUAACAUAUUCUCAAGAAAGGGAUCAGAAUGUCUGGGACUCUAUAUUUUACCUAUACUGAGUGGCAGUUAUAACUCAUUACCAUACUCACACUCUUCUGUCUGAAAGACAGGCCUGCUUUUCUUAGUUAUAAAAUUUGUCCCAUUUUUUUGAUCUCCAAGUCUAGUGGAUGAGCUAUCUCAACUGUGCAUAGAGUAUUUGGCUAUGCUGGCUCCUAACAAGAUGCCAAGUGGUUCACUUGCUUUAUUACUCUUUCCAAAUUGAACAGCCAGCUCAGAGAGAUACACUGUGGCAUCUGCGGAGUGGACAAAAAUAGACAAUCAGUAAUUAGUUAAUAGACAACAAUUUUAGAAAUAAGAAACAAAAACUGAACAUUUUACAUGUGUUUAGAGUCCAACAUUUCUCCAUUUAGCUAAUUUACAUUGAGUCUCUGAUUUUUAUGAAGAUACUAUCUAAGUAUUUAUAAAUUAAGAGGAGGCCUAGUCCAUCAAAACUUUAUAGGCCUCCAUGGGCAGACCAUUGUUACUGAGUGGCUUUUAUAAGUCAGGUACAGACAUGUUGGAGUAACUGUACCAUCUUAUCAGCAUCUACAGUAAGCAACAUUAAACUCUAGGAUAUAAGCUGUAUCAUUUUUUUUUUUUUGUUCCUCACAGAGCUUUGUGUAAACCAUAUAAUUUUUCUUAGGUUCUGGGUUCACAUCCAUAAAGAUAGAAAACAACUCCAAGAAUCAUUUUGGUCCUGACUGUUUUUCACUAGGUUCUUUAAGAAAAGCUUAGCAUCUCUCUGAUAGAAUGAAAUGGUUUUGAAAUCUAGACAAAUAGAUUCAACACUUAAAAGCAAAUCAUAUUCUGCCUUUCAGGGCCAGGACUACCUUCCUUCAUCCCCAUGUAUCUGGGAAGCUAAUCCUUGAUGUAAACACAUCUGUCAUGCACCAAUAAUGUUCUCAACAAAUUUCCAUGCUAUCUAUGGGGCCUGAGAUUUUUAAAACAGUGAAAACAGAAGUGCUUAUAUCUUCCUGACUGGGUUUGGUCAGGAGGAUGUUUGUCAAAUCCUGUUAAAUAUUCAGAACUGACUAGUAUGAACAUUCAGUGAUCCUCUGACCAUACUACUGAUCAUACCUAGGAGUUGUAUAAAAAGAAAGAAGAGAAUCAUAGAUGAUACCCAGGAGACAAGAUGUCACUUUGGCAAUGAACCUGUAGGUGUUUGCUUGCUACUCCUUCCAUUCCCUGUCAUCCGA
rnacentral:lncRNA from 1 species